rnacentral:lncRNA from 1 species
AUAACUCGCAUGAAAGACUAGUGUACAACAUACUUUUUCCUGAGUAAUAAUCAAAUCAAGAGAUAAGUAGAGAGAAUUUGCUGGAUUUUCUUAACAACAGAUGCAUUAAAAGAGGCUAGCAAUAACCUAGACAAAAAAAAGUACAAGCAUUACAAGUUAUAAGCUUUAAAAAGAGAAAUACACCAAUCAAACCAACUAAUAAAAUUAAAACAUUAUCUAUGUUUCAUCCAAUUAAACGCUAUCAAUUGGAAAUCAUCUGCUGCCUUCAUUGGAGAACAUCUCAACUUCUUGAAAAUCAAAGAGUUCUGCAUCUUCCAAAUCACCCAAACCAAAGAGUAAAAUAAGGCAAAAUUGAGCUUCUUUUUGUUCUUCCCAGAAGUAGCGAUCUUCAAAGCAAUGAGGAACUCUAACCUGUUACAAGGAAUGGAAUGCAAGAUAUCACUCCAAAGUCCAAACUAAAAACCAAUUCCAAAUAUGAAUAGAGAAGUCACAUUUGAAAAAUAGAUGGUCAACGUUCUCAUCUUCCUUGUUGCACAGAUGACAAACAGUGGAGAGGCCAAACUCACUCCUUUAUUCACCAAAUUACAAGCCACACAAACUCUAUUCAAGAUCAAUCUCCAAACAAAACAAUUAGUUUUGAUUGGAAACCAACUCACCUACUUAAAAUUACAAAAAUAGUUGUGAUCCCUCAAUUUAUUCGACAUCAGAUUCCUCAAAGAGAGGACCAAAAAAAACUUGUGGGAUUCGCCUUCCAAAGCCAAGAGACAGAGUCCGUGUUAAGCUUUAC